rnacentral:rRNA from 1 species
UUUUUUAAUUGAAAACUUGUAUGAAGGGUUGAACAAAAAAUUAGCUGUUUCAUAAAAAAUUUAUUAAAACUUUACUUUUUAGUCAAAAGGCUAAAAUAUAUUUAAAAGACGAGAAGACCCUAUAGAGUUUUAUAAAAUUAUUUAAUUUUUUUUAUAAAAAUUACUUUCAUUUAAAUUAAUUAUUUUAUUUUGUUGGGGUGACAAUAAAAUUUAAUACACUUUUAUUUUUAAAAAUCAUUUAUUUAUGAUAUAUUGAUCCAAUAUUAUUGAUUAAAAAUUUAAAUUACCUUAGGGAUAACAGCGUAAUCUUUUUUUAGAGAUCUUAUCAAUAAAAAUUUUUGC